GUUAAGCUUCCCAUUUAGUUUAACCCUACUAAAAAACCCAACAACAACAUCAACAACAAACCUUUAACCCUUCUAUAGUAUUUGCCUCAUUCUGUGGCUGCUGUAGGACACCUCUCCAGCGGGGGCAGGGCGAGGGAGGUUAUGUCUAGACACAGAUAUUAUUACUCUCAUACAGUGUUAACGAAGUGUCCCCGCCUCUCCGUAUUACUUAAUUCUCACAGUAACCCUCUGACAUAGGUAUUACCGUCUUCAUUUUGAGGAGGAUAAAUAAACUGAUGUAUAUAACCUAAUUGCUCAGGGUCACACACCUUGUAAGUGAAAAGGCCAAGAUUGGGAUCUGGGCAUUCUGGCUCCAGCUCUGCCUAGGCUGGAGGAAGCGGCGAGGAUGUCUCCUGUGGCCCUCACCCCACACACACCUCUGGCCGUUUCGGGACUGCAUAGGCACCAGUCAGCCAACGCCCCGGUGUUGGAACAAGAAAAUCACCUGUACUCCAGACUUUUAAGUGACUACCCUCAGCGCUUGUGAAGGUCUAGGCAGAAGUAAGGACUUGUUAUCUGAGUUGACAACUUGGGAGCUCUAAGAAGGGGUCCUAGAUAAUCAGAGAAUAAGGAAAAGAAAAGUGGUGCUGAUCCACAAUCUGUUAGACAAGGUGCUACCUUUACCCAAACAACACCUUUUCCUCCUUCUCCAAAAGAGAAACGGAUGACUAGUUACACAGAUGUUUUUCCCCCAAGUCGUAUCUUUCCACAGACUUAAGAGGCCUAGUCACCUCGAUCAUGGAGUCUUCCUCAAAGGGUCUGCUCACCCACGUUACUCAAUUCUGGAACCUCCUAGAUGAUCUGGCUGAAAGCAACCCUGAGGGCUAUAAGAAGUUCAUUCAACAGCAGCUGAAAGAAGGGAAACCGCUCUGUGCCGCCCCAGAACCACAGCUCUGUCUACAAACCAGGAUCCUGAAACCAAAGGAAAAAGUACUCUUCAUCAACCUAUGUCAGUGGGAAAGGAUCCCAGCUCCCCAGUCAAACACUCAUCCAGUGCCUCUAAGUGUUGGCAGACCAGAAGAUAUGUCUGAGACAUCAGAUGUUUGUACAGUCAUCGAUGUGGCCUACAGUCCUGAUGUUCUCCAGGCAGCGGAAAAGGACCAAGUGAAAAAAGAUCAAUUAAUACGGAUGGCCAUGAAAUGCAUUGAGGAAAAACUCCAACUCACUCUCUCACACUCUUACAGCAUUACCAAAUUUAGAAUAAAAGGAAGCAUUGAAAGGAUGCAACAAAAUCUGACGAGAAUGCAAACUGACCCCACAGAUUUAAGAGAGAAAAUGAGGAAGGAACUAACCCUGGAACAGAUAACUAGUACUGUGAGCAAUCCAGCUGACUUUCAACUUUUAUUGCCAGAAGAGAAAGUUUCAGGCAAAACCAAGUGUCUGAUAGAGGAGAUUUCCAGUACAGAGAGCCAGGUAGAGAUGAAGGAACCAGCCUAUGAAUUAAAAAUUGUGGCCGAUCAGAAUGAGAAACCUCGGAAAAUUGAGAUAGAGGUUGAACUACCUGGUAUUAACUCCGCAUCUCUCUGUGACCUUAGUGUUUCUGAGGAUGACUUACUGAUUGAGGUCCCUGAGAAGUACAGAUUACAUCUGAAUCUUCCAGAAUCUGUGGAUACUGGAACGACUACAGCAAAAUUUAUCACAGAGAAAGCUACGUUAAUCAUCACCAUGCCACUGCUGUGAGAGCGUCGUCUGCUGUGGGUCUCCAGAGCUAGCGGCACAGGAAGGACACGACCCUUGUCAACGAACAAGGCGAUCAGGGAAGAUAGAGAAGGUGACACGGAGUCAACUCCUUAAGGCGGUAAAGGAGGAGCCAGGGCUCCGUCCGCCCCGUGGGCCAGCUCGCUGGUAACGCGCACCUCAAGCCUCCUCGGAGCUGGCAUACGGAGGGCGGCGCCGUAACCUGGCCCUCCGGGCGGGGUUUCCUCAAUACAAUGUUUGUUUCUCCCAAGAAGCUAAUUGGCCAAAGCAAACCUCUUAAACCAGUCAUCUCAGAUUCCCAACUAAAAAAAGUCUGUUCGUGCUUCAAAUUGUGAACACAACUAAACAAACGGAGUAAAGACACUCUGUUUGUGCCCUGGCAUUGGUUGCAGAUUCGGGGUAACGUUCUUACACGGCGAAUGUUGCUGAUCGGGACGUCUGUGAAGACCCCCGGGGGCGCGGGCGCCACUCCUGGACCCGGGGCGGGCACGGCGGCUGCUGGAGCCUGUGGGGAAGCAGAAAAGCUCUUGGUGACUGUGGCUCAAUCCUGGCACAC